rnacentral:rRNA from 1 species
UGUCUUUUAGAAAAUAAUUUAAAGUCUAAUCUGCCCACUGAUUUUUAAUUAAAGGGCUGCAGUAUAUUGACUGUACAAAGGUAGCAUAAUCAUUAGUCAUUUAAUUGAUGACUUGUAUGAAAGAUUGGAUGAAAUAUGAACUGUCUCUUAUUUAAAUAUAAAAUUUAAUUUUUUUAUCAAAAAGUUAAAAUAGUUUAAAAAGACGAGAAGACCCUAUAGAGUUUUAUUAAUAUAUUAAUUAAGAUUAUAUGUAAAAUAAAUUUAAAAUUAAAUUAUUAAUUUUAUUGGGGUGAUAAAAAAAUAUAUUUAACUUUUUUUAAAGUAAAACAUUUAUAAGUGGUUAAGUGAUCCAAUAAUGUUGAUUAUAAGAAUAAAUUACCUUAGGGAUAACAGCGUAAUUUUUUUUUUUAGUUCAAAUAAAAAAAAGAGUUUGCGACCUCGAUGUUGGAUUAAGAUAAAAUUUAAAUGCAGAAG